rnacentral:rRNA from 1 species
GACUACUGGGGUAUCUAAUCCUGUUCGAUCCCCACGCUUUCGUGCCUCAGCGUCAGUUUCGCCGUUGUGAGCUGCCUUCGCUAUCGGUGUUCUGUGCCAUAUCUAAGCAUUUCACCGCUACACGGCACAUUCCGCCCACAUCCAGCGUACUCAAGAAUGGCAGUAUCAAUGGCAAUUCUACAGUUAAGCUGCAGGAUUUCACCACUGACUUACCACCCCGCCUACGCACCCUUUAAACCCAAUGAAUCCGGAUAACGCUUGCACCCUUCGUAUUACCGCGGCUGCUGGCACGAAGUUAGCCGGUGCUUAUUCCUCCGGUACCGUCAACCCUCCACACGUAGAGGGGUUUCUUCCCGGUUAAAAGCAGUUUACAACGCGUAGCGCCUUCUUCCUGCACGCGGCAUGGCUGCGUCAGAGUUGCCUCCAUUGCGCAAUAUUCCUCACUGCAGCCCCCCGUAGG